UGGGGAAUAUUGGACAAUGGGGGCAACCCUGAUCCAGCAAUACCGCGUGUGUGAAGAAGGCCUUCGGGUUGUAAAGCACUUUAGGUUGGGAAGAAGAGGCGUAGUUUAAGAGAUGACGCCUUUGACGGUACCGACAGAAUAAGCACCGGCUAACUCUGUGCCAGCAGCCGCGGUAAUACAGAGGGUGCAAGCGUUAAUCGGAGUUACUGGGCGUAAAGGGCGCGUAGGCGGUUAGUUAAGUGAGAUGUGAAAGCCCUGGGCUUAACCUAGGAAUGGCAUCUUAAACUGGUUAACUGGAGUACUGUAGAGGGUAGUGGAAUUUCCGGUGUAGCGGUGAAAUGCGUAGAGAUCGGAAGGAACACCAGUGGCGAAGGCGGCUACCUGGACAGAUACUGACGCUGAGGCGCGAAAGCGUGGGGAGCAAACAGG
rnacentral:rRNA from 1 species